rnacentral:rRNA from 1 species
UACGGAGGGGGCGAGCGUUAUUCGGAAUUAUUGGGCGUAAAGGGCGCGUAGGCGGCCUUGCAAGUCAAAGGUGAAAUCCCUCGGCUCAACUGAGGAACUGCCUUUGAAACUGCAUGGCUUGAGGCCGGGAGGGGGUAGCGGAAUUCCCAGUGUAGCGGUGAAAUGCGUAGAUAUUGGGAGGAACACCAGUGGCGAAGGCGGCUACCUGGACCGGUUCUGACGCUGAUGCGCGAAAGCGUGGGGAGCAAACAGG